GAAAGUAAGUAAGGGCGUAUGGGGGAUGCCUAGGCUCUUGGAGGCUAAGAAGGACGUGGUAAGCUGCGAAAAGCUGCGGGGAUUUGCAAACGAGACUCGAUCCGCAGAUAUCCGAAUGGGACAACCCGGCAGGUAGAAGACCUGUCACACCGCGAGGUGAGCUAACCCUCUGAACUGAAACAUCUAAGUAGGAGGAGGAAAAGAAAGAAACAUCGAUUUCCAAAGUAGCGGCGAGCGAAAUGGAAGAAGCCCAAACCGAUAUUGUUACGGCAAUAUCGGGGUUGUAGGACUGCAAUAUUCAAUUAACAAUGAACUGGAAUGGUCUGGAAAGUCCAUCCAUAGAGAGUGAAAGGCUCGUACAGGUAAGUUUGUUAUGCGAUAGCAGUAUCCUGAGUAUGGCGGGACACGAGGAAUCCUGUCAGAAUCAGCCGGGACCACCCGGUAAGGCUAAAUACUCCCAAGAGACCGAUAGUGGACCAGUACUGUGAAGGAAAGGUGAAAAGAACCCCGAACAGGGGAGUGAAAUAGAACCUGAAACCAUACGCUUACAACCGGUCGGAGCAGCUUCGUGCUGUGACGGCGUGCCUAUUGAAUAAUGAGCCUACGAGUUACUAAUCACUAGCGAGGUUAAGUGCAAGGAUGCACGGAGCCGAAGCGAAAGCGAGUCUGAACAGGGCGUUUAGUUAGUGGUUGUAGACGCGAAACCUUGCGAUCUACCCUUGAGCAGGUUGAAGGUUGGGUAAAACCAACUGGAGGACCGAACGAAUAAGCGUUGAAAAGCUUCUCGAUGACUUGAGGGUAGGGGUGAAAGGCUAAUCAAGCUGGGAAAUAGCUCGUACUCCCCGAAAUGCCUUUUGGGGCAGCGUUGUAAUAAAGAGUCUACUGGAGGUAGAGCUACUGAUUGGAUGCGGGGGCUUCACCGCCUACCAAAUCCUGACAAACUCCGAAUGCCAGUAGUAUGAUUUACAGCAGUGAGUGACUGGGUGCUAAUGUCCAGUCGCAAAAGAGGAACAACUCAGACCAGCAACUAAGGUCCCGAAGAAUAUGCUAAGUUGAUCUAACGAUGUUUUGUUGCAGAGACAGCUAGGAUGUUAGCUUGGAAGCAGCUAUUCAUUCAAAGAGUGCGUAACAGCUCACUAGUCGAGCGACAGAGCGUGGAUAAUAAACGGGCAUCAAGCAUAUCACCGAAGUUCUGGGCGCGAGAGCGCGGUAGGGGAGCAUUCCAUUCAGCGUCGAAGCAGUUUCGUGAGGAAUUGUGGAGCGUAUGGAAAAGCAAAUGUAGGCAUGAGUAACGAUAAUGCGGGAGAGUAACCCGCACACCGCAAGACCAAGGUUUCCUGAUCAACGCUAAUCGGAUCAGGGUUAGUCGGGUCCUAAGGGUAAGCCGAACGGCGAUCUCGAUGGAUAAUCGGUUAAUAUUCCGAUACUAACAUAUACCUCGAUGGAGAGACGAAGGAACGUAAGUGCCGCCACCUGACGGAAUAGGUGGUUAAAGGGCGUAGGUAUAGGGGCAGAUUAAGAGUUAGUCCUUGCUGAAACCUGACAGUACAGAGAGCCUACGGGCAAUUUGAUAGAGCACCCAAGUCGACUUCCGAGAAAAUCUUCUAAGUUAUAGUAUAUGUUACCCGUACCGUAAACCGACACAGGUGGUCGAGGAGAGUAUCCUAAGGUGCUCGAGUGAAUCACGGUUAAGGAACUAGGCAAAUUAACCCCGUAACUUCGGGAAAAGGGGUCCCUAUGAAAGUAGGGCGCAGCGAAGAGGUCCAGGCGACUGUUUAUCAAAAACACAGGGCUCUGCAAAUUCGAAAGAAGACGUAUAGGGCCUGACACCUGCCCGGUGCUGGAAGGUUAAGAGGGGAUGUCAUCGCAAGAGAAGCAUUGAAUCGAAGCCCCAGUAAACGGCGGCCGUAACUAUAACGGUCCUAAGGUAGCGAAAUUCCUUGUCGGGUAAGUUCCGACCUGCACGAAUGG
rnacentral:rRNA from 1 species